ACGGUUAGCAGCUUUGUCGCCGACAAGCGUCAUACGAGUUUUCGUCUCCCUAUACGUUGAAUUUUAAAUUUUUUAACUGUUCUUGUUAGGAUUUUUGUUGAAAAGAUUGUUGUGGGCAACAAAAUGAAAAGAAAGGUGAUACUUAGUGAAGGGAGAAACAUAAUCCUGAAAAAGAAACAUAAAGGAAAAUUAUUACUGAGCUAUUGGGAUACAAAUUUAAAAAGUGCAAGAACACCCGUGUGGUCUUAAUACAAAAACCCGAUACCGCUAUAUUCUAAUGUACUUAUGUAUAAUAUAUUGUUAAAAACAAUAAAUGCAAAGUAAAAUCUAACAAA